GUGGGGAAUAUUGGACAAUGGGCGAAAGCCUGAUCCAGCCAUGCCGCGUGUGUGAAGAAGGUCUUCGGAUUGUAAAGCACUUUAAGUUGGGAGGAAGGGCAGUAAGUUAAUACCUUGCUGUUUUGACGUUACCGACAGAAUAAGCACCGGCUAACUCUGUGCCAGCAGCCGCGGUAAUACAGAGGGUGCAAGCGUUAAUCGGAAUUACUGGGCGUAAAGCGCGCGUAGGUGGUUUUGUAAGUUGGAGGUGAAAUCCCCGGGCUCAACCUGGGAACUGCCUCCAAAACUGCAUGACUAGAGUACGGUAGAGGGUAGUGGAAUUUCCUGUGUAGCGGUGAAAUGCGUAGAUAUAGGAAGGAACACCAGUGGCGAAGGCGACUACCUGGACUGAUACUGACACUGAGGUGCGAAAGCGUGGGGAGCAAACAGGAUUAGAAACCCCGGUAGUCC
rnacentral:rRNA from 1 species